UGUGUGUAAGCUGUCUGGUGGGCCAUGUAGCCUGAUGUGCUGGACCCAGUGUGUACACUUCUCUCUCUCGUCUAGUUCAUAAGCUCUGCCUCACUCUGAUUGGCUGCUGCUCUGUGUUGUUUUUCUUUCAGGCCACAAAAAACAUCACAGCUGAGUCUGGAAAGAACGUCACUCUGACAUGUCGAGCUCCAAAUAACAACAUAGUAGUAGAGUGGAGCAGAGCUGACCUGCAGCCAGAAUAUGUUCUUUUGUACCGAGACAAGCAGUUUAUUCGAGAUCACCAGCAUCCAUCUUUUAAGAACCGGGUGGAUCUGCAGGACAAACAGAUGAAGGAUGGAGACGUGUCUUUGAUUUUGAAGGACGUGAUGAUUAAUGACACUGGAACAUACGAGUGUCGUGUCUUUGUGAGAGAAACACGCUUGUGGAAAUCCAUCAGCAUCAUCUACCUUCAUGUUGUUGAUCCUCCAGGUCAGCCAGGAGGACACACAGAGGAUGGAGAGGAGGAAGAUGGAGUUGGUAGAAGUCAUCAUGGUCGACUGAUGGCUUCUGUUUUAUUACUUGCUGUGAUCAUUCUUGUUUUUGCAGUUGUGAUCUCUAAAAAAACACAAGAAAGAUCCUCCUCUUCAUCCUCCUGAUGAAGAAGCAAAGAAGGAAAUGGUCUGAAGCAAAGCACCAUGGAACGAGAGAGAGAGAGAGAGAGA